rnacentral:rRNA from 1 species
UACGGAGGGUGCAAACGUUGCUCGGAAUCAUUGGGCGUAAAGCGCACGUAGGCGGCCUGUUAAGUCGGGUGUGAAAGCCCUGGGCUCAACCCAGGAAGUGCACUCGAAACUGGCGGGCUUGAAUAUGGAAGAGGGUCGCGGAAUUCCUGGUGUAGCGGUGAAAUGCGCAGAUAUCAGGAGGAACACCGGUGGCGAAGGCGGAUCUCUGGGCCAUUACUGACGCUGAGGAGCGAAAGCGUGGGGAGCGAACAGG